GAAGGAGUGUAUGUUAAUAGCAUACAUUAUUGACGUUAAAUACAGAAGAAGCACCGGCUAACUCCGUGCCAGCAGCCGCGGUAAUACGGAGGUGCGAGCGUUAAUCGGAAUAACUGGGCGUAAAGCGCGCGUAGGCGGUAAAAUAAGUCUGAUGUGAAAGCCCCGCCGUCUACCGGAACGGGUGAUUGAACGUAGUUACUUGUAGACAGAGAGGAGAGUGAAGUUCAUGUGUGCGGUGAAGUAGCGCGAGAGAGUAUGGAGGACGACCACUGGGUGCGCGCGUCUCUGGUCUGGUAGUGUGGAGGCGAAGCAGCCAGGGAGUAGG
rnacentral:rRNA from 1 species